AAAAAUCCUGUGAACGGGACGAGUAGCAAGGCUCAAGGCCCCAAGCGAGCCGGGGAGGGUGGAAGCCCGGCGGUCGUGGCUUUGGCGAAAAUCCCCCGGGAGGAGGCGACCCAAAGGCGAAAAGCCCAGUAGGUUUGCCCGGCGCCUGUGCCGUUAUUUUAACGAAGUGACCGGAUUUUUCCGGUAAUUUGGGUGGUACCGCGGUGUAAAGCCGUCCCUUAA
rnacentral:ncRNA from 1 species